ensembl:lncRNA
AGGGUUCUAUAAAGGUAGUGCACUACGUAGGGAAUAGGGUUCUAUAAAGGUAGUGCACUAUGUAGGGAAUAGGGUGCCAUUUGGAUCGCCGACUGUCUGAUCUGAUGCAAGGCUUGCCCGAUGCUUCCUGGCAACAGCAAUGCGGUAGAGAUUUUAAUGUGUGACUGCUCCUAUGCAUCUGGUGAAACCAUCCAGACCAUGUCUGAUAAAUCUUCUGUUUUCCCAGACAGAGAUGGUGAUCAGCCACACGGCCGUUACUGUGGUACAGCUGGUAAUAGCAGGCUGUGGUUUGACCAGAUUUCUUGACUAUGGCUCUGUUCCAAAAAGCACCUUAUUGUUUAUUAACUUACUG